GACGAACGCUGGCGGCGUGCCUAAUACAUGCAAGUCGAGCGAAGUUUUUCUGGUGCUUGCACUAGAAAAACUUAGCGGCGAACGGGUGAGUAACACGUAAAGAACCUGCCUCAUAGACUGGGACAACUAUUGGAAACGAUAGCUAAUACCGGAUAACAGUAUUUCUCGCAUGAGAGAUAUUUAAAAGUUGGUUAUGCUAACACUAUGAGAUGGCUUUGCGGUGCAUUAGCUAGUUGGUGGGGUAAAGGCCCACCAAGGCGACGAUGCAUAGCCGACCUGAGAGGGUGAUCGGCCACACUGGAACUGAGACACGGCCCAGACUCCUACGGGAGGCAGCAGUAGGGAAUCUUCCACAAUGGGCGAAAGCCUGACGGAGCAACGCCGCGUGAGUGAAGAAGGAUUUCGGUUCGUAAAGCUCUGUUGUUAGGGAAGAAUGGAUAUGUAGUAACUAUACAUGUAAGAGACGGUACCUAACCAGAAAGCCACGGCUAACUACGUG
rnacentral:rRNA from 1 species